GUUGAAAUCGACUUGAUGGCACCUAACAAGAACAACAAUCUCCUAUUGAAGAAAUAUGGAUACCAUCAUUAACCUAGGUACUAUUUUUGCCAGCUUUGUCAUCUAUCAGCUUAUUUUCCAUUUUGUAAGUUCUUGGUUUUCAGCAAAAGUUUCUCAAUGUUUUAAGGAUCUCAGCUUGGAAGAGAAGAUUAAAUGGAACUUAAGGGUGGUAUCCACAUGUCAAGGUUUAGUGGUUGGAGUUUUUAGCCUGUGUAUUAUUUUAUUUCGUGAGGCUGCUAAGGCUGAUCCACUUUGGUAAGCUGUUUAUUCCUAAGAUAGUCAAUUUGAUUUUCAUUUUUAUAUUAGUAAUACUAACAUUUCUUACUUUAAAGCAUAAAGCAUAGAUAUGGUAUAUAUUUUAUGAAAAUGCAUGUGUUCAAGAUUCAUUUCAGCAAUGUGCCCUAAAAUGAUUCAUUUUACAUUUGAAUACGUACAAUGAGGGUUAUUUUGUCUUAUUAUUGUAAUUAUUAUCAAAAAUAGGGAGGUUAUGGUGAUGAUAUGAACAUUUUCACUGUUAGUAAAUUAAACGAAGUUACUGUAAAUACUGUUCUGAGCAAAAAUGAGUUAUUAUUGAGACACAUUGAUCAACUUGGAUAACAGCUACUUAAGACUUAGUUUUCUAAUCCAUAGUUUGUAGCCAUCAAUUGAUAUCAAAGAGAUGAAAAAUGAGAAUUAUUGAUGGCUACAUGAGAAGAAUUUAUUACCACAUUAGAGUAUUUGAUGUAUCGGUAAUAACUGUGCUCCCUGGAGAAUUCUACCAAAUAUUUAGAGAAGCA